rnacentral:rRNA from 1 species
AGAAUAAUUCACAAUGGGGGAAACCCUGAUGGUGCAACGCCGCGUGGAGGAUGAAGGUCUUCGGAUUGUAAACUCCUGUCAUCUGGGAGUAAGACCUGGGCGUGAAUAGCGCACAGGGUUGAUAGUACCAGAAGAGGAAGGGACGGCUAACUUCGUGCCAGCAGCCGCGGUAAUACGGGGGGAGCAAGCGUUGUUCGGAUUUACUGGGCGUAAAGGGCGCGUAGGCGGCCACCGCAAGUCGGUUGUGAAAUCUCCGGGCUUAACCCGGAAAGGUCAACCGAUACUGCGGGGCUAGAGUGCAGAAGGGGCAACUGGAAUUCUCGGUGUAGCGGUGAAAUGCGUAGAUAUCGAGAGGAACACCUGCGGCGAAGGCGGGUUGCUGGGCUGACACUGACGCUGAAGCGCGAAAGCUAGGGGAGCGAAC